rnacentral:rRNA from 1 species
UACGGGGGGGGCAAGCGUUGUUCGGAAUUACCGGGCGUAAAGGGCUCGUAGGCUGCCCACUAAGUCAGACGUGAAAUCCCUCGGCUUAACCGGGGAACUGCAUCUGAUACUGGAUGGCUUGAGUUCGGGAGAGGGAUGCGGAAUUCCAGGUGUAGCGGUGAAAUGCGUAGAUAUCUGGAGGAACACCGGUGGCGAAGGCGGCAUCCUGGACCGACACUGACGCUGAGGAGCGAAAGCCAGGGGAGCAAACGGG